UACGUAGGGUGCGAGCGUUAAUCGGAAUUACUGGGCGUAAAGUGUGCGCAGGUGGCCGCGCAAGUCGAGUGUGAAAUCCCCGAGCUUAACUUGGGAAUUGCGCUCGAAACUACGUGGCUAGAGUGUGGCAGAGGGAGGUGGAAUUCCACGUGUAGCGGUGAAAUGCGUAGAGAUGUGGAGGAACACCAAUGGCGAAGGCAGCCUCCUGGGCCAACACUGACACUCAUGCACGAAAGCGUGGGGAGCAAACAGG
rnacentral:rRNA from 1 species